AUGAGUGUGUAGGUGUGGUGUGUAGGGCUGUGUGUGUAGGUGUAUGAGUGGAGGUGUGUGUGGAGGUGUGUGUGGUGGGUGUAGAUGUGUGUGUGGUGUGUGUGUAGGUCUAUGGGUGGAGGUGUGGUGUGUGGAGGUGUGUGUGGUGGAUGUGGCGGCUGGUGUAGAGGGAUGAGGCAGGUAUUGUGGUACCCACCGGGGGGUGAGCCACAACAGCUCUGGGAUGCCAGCGCCCUGGGUAGGCUGAGGCAGAGCUGACAGCAAACUAAACAAAGCUUCUAAACUCUCUCCACAAGGAUCCCAGAGGCUGGGCCUCAGCAACCCCAGGACAGCAGGGCAGGUGGCUGUCAGAUGGUCUGGAGGCUCCCAGUAGGGUCUGACAGGCACCCAGGUUUUAGAAACAUCAGUUUAUCCAACCUUCUCACAUUCAUCCAUGGCACACACGCAGUUUCCUAGGGCCCCAGAGUGGAGGGAGACGAGAGUCCUGCUCCCAGCCCGUCACCCUGUGCCUGGCUGGUUCACCCUACUCAGACCAGCAUGGGGCCUGGCACAUGGCACACGGCACACAGCAGGCAUGUCAGGGAGUGAAGGAACUAAAACCUGGCACACAGCAUGCAAUACCACCUCGUCACACGACUUGUGAGUACUGCUCUGAAUCCCAGGGCGCAAACCUGGGCUGCGCACAAUUGGCACUUGAUUCUGUUUCUUUUUUUUUGAGAUACAGUCUCACUAUGUUGCCCAGGCUGGAGUGCAGUGGUACAGUCAUAGCUCACGAUAACCUCAAACUCCUGGGUUUAAGUGAUCCUCCCGCUUCAGCCUCCCAAGUAGCUGGCACUACAGGUACCUGCCACCGCGCCUGGUUUUGAUGCUGUUUUGUACUUUGCUCUUGGGAAUCAUGUUCUCACAGUUUAGUGGGUGAAGGCCUU
rnacentral:lncRNA from 1 species